UACAGAGGGUGCGAGCGUUAAUCGGAAUUACUGGGCGUAAAGCGCGCGUAGGCGGCUUUGCAAGUCGGGUGUGAAAUCCCCAAGCUUAACUUGGGAACUGCAUUCGAGACUGCAUUGCUAGAGUAUGGGAGAGGGAAGUGGAAUUUCCGGUGUAGCGGUGAAAUGCGUAGAUAUCGGAAGGAACAUCAGUGGCGAAAGCGACUUCCUGGACCAAUACUGACGCUCAUGUGCGAAAGCGUGGGGAACAAACAGG
rnacentral:rRNA from 1 species